CUGCCACGCUUUUUUUUUUCUUCGGCGGAUGAUCUAGCCCUAAGCGUGUAGGGUGAGAAUGGAACGUUCCCAAAUUGACAGCAAUCAAACAUUUUCUUUGGUGACAUCUGAAUCACUCUCGGAUCAUGGAUUCUAUAGCCUUCAGUUCAUGUCCCUGAUCUCAGAGUCUUGGGAGACCAUUGAAUGUUACAGAAAUCCGUUCAUUCGCCAAAAAGAUUUAUGGAAAGGAGCUCUACUGAGAUGCAUGGAGCUAAUCCCUUAGGGCUGAGAAAAAAGCGAAGUUAGAAAAAGAAAGAGCUAGCCAAGACAAUUGUGAAAAAUAAACAAAAUGCUGAGAAGUUGAUAGAGAUCCAAAAAGAGAAGCUAACUAUCUGAAGAACCAAGUCAAUGUCUUUUGGACUGUGAGGAAUACAAGAAAGAUGAAUCUAGACAUUGAAAAUCUUGAGGAUGAUCAAAAUGAAAGUGAAGAGAGUUUGUUAGUCCCAGAUGGGCGUCUCUCAGGAAAUGAGGUGGAAGCAGAAUAACUCUAACUGCAACCUCAGCUGCUUCUUGUGCAGUAUGAGUUCCCAUUCCUCCAGUCAUGGCCGUCUUUGUGAAUCCCGGACAGAAACAAUUAAUGCUCAAGUUUAGGCCUUUCUGCUGCUUAGAGAGCAAUCUGGAGUAAGCAUUUACUGCGUGCUUGGAGACAGAGUAAUCAGUCCAAAUCAUAGGCCAUCCAGCUUCCUUCCAGAACUCAACAGUGAGGCCUCUCUUGGCUAAGCAAAGAACCGCUUCUAUCCCUUUGAUUUCAUUCCUGCAAGUGAGAACCACCAUUAAUCCGAGCUCUGCAAGCUUCUCCACAAUAGCAAAACCUAUCCCUUU